rnacentral:rRNA from 1 species
CCACCACUAAGCCAGUGGUGAACUCCACAUACGCAUCCUUUGCUGAGGAUACGGUUAACGGAGCGAAAGCGACGUUCAACCGCAAAAGAAGCAGAGGGGGCUUAGUGGUGGGGUGACUGCGUACCUUUUGUAUAAUGGGUCAGCGACUUAUAUUCUGUAGCAAGGUUAACCGAAUAGGGGAGCCGGAGGGAAACCGAGUCUUAACCGGGCGUUAAGUUGCAGGGUAUAGACCCGAAACCCGGUGAUCUAGCCAUGGGCAGGUUGAAGGUUGGGUAACACUAACUGGAGGACCGAACCGACUAAUGUUGAAAAAUUAGCGGAUGACCUGUGGCUGGGGGUGAAAGGCCAAUCAAACCGGGAGAUAGCUGGUUCUCCCCGAAAGCUAUUUAGGUAGCGCCUCGUGAAUUCAUCUCCGGGGGUAGAGCACUGUUUCGGCUAGGGGGCCAUCCCGGCUUACCAACCCGAUGCAAACUGCGAAUACCGGAGAAUGUUAUCACGGGAGACACACGGCGGGUGCUAACGUCCGUCGUGAAGAGGGAAACAACCCAGACCGCCAGCUAAGGUCCCAAAGUCAUGGUUAAGUGGGAAACGAUGUGGGAAGGCCCAGACAGCCAGGAUGUUGGCUUAGAAGCAGCCAUCAUUUAAAGAAAGCGUAAUAGCUCACUGGUCGAGUCGGCCUGCGCGGAAGAUGUAACGGGGCUAAACCAUGCACCGAAGCUGCGGCAGCGACGCUGAUGCGUUGUUGGGUAGGGGAGCGUUCUGUAAGCCUGUGAAGGUGGCCUGUGAGGGUUGCUGGAGGUAUCAGAAGUGCGAAUGCUGACAUAAGUAACGAUAAAGCGGGUGAAAAGCCCGCUCGCCGGAAGACCAAGGGUUCCUGUCCAACGUUAAUCGGGGCAGGGUGAGUCGACCCCUAAGGCGAGGCCGAAAGGCGUAGUCGAUGGGAAACGGGUUAAUAUUCCCGUACUUGGUGUUACUGCGAAGGGGGGACGGAGAAGGCUAUGUUGGCCGGGCGACGGUUGUCCCGGUUUAAGCGUGUAGGUGUGUGUUCCAGGUAAAUCCGGUUCACUUUAACACUGAGGCGUGAUGACGAGGCACUACGGUGCUGAAGCAACAAAUGCCCUGCUUCCAGGAAAAGCCUCUAAGCAUCAGGUAACAUCAAAUCGUACCCCAAACCGACACAGGUGGUCAGGUAGAGAAUACCAAGGCGCUUGAGAGAACUCGGGUGAAGGAACUAGGCAAAAUGGUGCCGUAACU